rnacentral:rRNA from 1 species
AGUGAACGCUGGCUGUAGGCCUAACACAUGCAAGUCGAACGGCAGCACAGUAAGAGCUUGCUCUUACGGGUGGCGAGUGGCGGACGGGUGAGGAAUACAUCGGAAUCUACUUUUUCGUGGGGGAUAACGUAGGGAAACUUACGCUAAUACCGCAUACGACCUACGGGUGAAAGUAGGGGAUCUUCGGACCUUGCGCGAUUGAAUGAGCCGAUGUCGGAUUAGCUAGUUGGCGGGGUAAAGGCCCACCAAGGCGACGAUCCGUAGCUGGUCUGAGAGGAUGAUCAGCCACACUGGAACUGAGACACGGUCCAGACUCCUACGGGAGGCAGCAGUGGGGAAUAUUGGACAAUGGGCGCAAGCCUGAUCCAGCCAUACCGCGUGGGUGAAGAAGGCCUUCGGGUUGUAAAGCCCUUUUGUUGGGAAAGAAAAGCAGCAGGUUAAUACCCCGCUGUUCUGACGGUACCCAAAGAAUAAGCACCGGCUAACUUCGUG